GGGGCUGUGGUGUAGCUUGGUUAUCAUCGAUGGUUAGGGACCAUCAGACUUCGGUUCAAAUCCGAGCAGCCCCA
rnacentral:tRNA from 1 species